AAUGAAUUGCCUGAUUAAAGGGUAACUUUGAUAGAGUUAAUUAUGUAAAAUUUACAUUCAUUA
rnacentral:tRNA from 1 species